UUUCUUAUAUAUGUGCGUGUGUAUUUAUAUAAUAUUUUCAUAAUAUGUGUGUGUAUGUGUGUUUGUUUGCUUGUUAGUUAUUUUGAUGUCCACACUGUAAGAGCAUUAUCUAUAAACCACCUCGCUAUGUGUACUGCGUUAAGCUCACUCAGACGUGUAAUAGCGCAUGUAUAUGAUUGCUCUUUUACUUGAUUCAGUUAGUAAACCUAAAACUUUAAAUUCUGCUGUUAUUAUUCUUUCUAUUUUUUUUUUGUAUAUUCUGUAAAUUACUUUUCUUUUCUGCAUUUCACCUCUGCUACAGUUUAUUUAUAAUAAACCUGGCAUUGUAUAAUAAAUAUUGUUGGCUUUGACAGAAUGACAGAUUGUUUAUGUUCCUAGAUUCUUCCAUGCUGAUGGCCAUACCCUAGAGUUGUAGCGUGUAUCUUGUCGAAGAUCAUUUUUAGACAUUAUGAGACAUAUGACUUAGGGGCAAAAUACAUUGAGCCAAGUCAGACAUUCGACAGUCAUAAUUACUGAUCUUAACACACAGGGAAAAUGUGUAAUGAACGCCUCGCAGAUACAAACGGGGUAAAUAAUAGUUCAUCAUUGAUAUAUUUUUUCUAUUUCAGAGACUGUAAAUCAUCGAUAAACCACAAGAGUUUAGCUCCAACCCCAAUUAAGCAGACCUGAGCAGCUGAUCAAAGAUCACCAGAAACUCUGCAGAACGGUGGUCCUGCAUGCCCAGGACUGGACACCAGUGUUAUGCUGGAGAAAAAACAUCUGCCAUGGCUCAUUAAUCCAGAAUUGGGAUGGUGGAAGGAGCAGAAGAACCAGAAGAUCAGAGAUCAGGCAGAGAUCUACUGGUGCCCCUGUGGGAACCAAUUUACCUAAUGAGUUAGUUAAACCGAAGAUUUUCAUCACUCACCUUCAUGUUGUUCCAAGUCAGACUUUUGUUCAUCUUUGAAACAUAAAUGCAGAACUUUUUAAUGAAAUCUGAGAAAUAUAUUUUUUUAUUUAUAAAAUAACAUUCACGAGAGCACCAUGAUGCAUUAGUGUUGAGUUGGCGUGAGAGCUGGCAAUCUCAUGGUACUUUUGUGAAAAUCUGUUGGGGAUACAUCAUUUCUGAAUAAAUUUUUUUUUUUUUUUUUUUUUUUUUUUUUUUGCUGUUGUUGUUUUUUUGUACACAAGGCAUCUGUUAAAAAACCUUAAUUUGUGUUCUGCACAAAAGGGUCUUAUGGGUUUGGAGCAACAUGAGGGUAAGUAAUUAAUGAUAGAAUUUACAUUUUUGGUUGUUCUAAUGUGGUUAUUAUUGGUCAUUAUUUCCAUUUUCAAUAUUUUAAAGAUUUAUUGUCUUGAAAAAUUAUGUUUAUACAGAAAGAUUGAUUCAUUGGAUAAGUUACAGUAAAGACUUUUAAAUUGAUAAAA